rnacentral:sRNA from 1 species
UAUAGAUUUACAAAUCAAUAAACCAAUAACACCCCCUAAAAUUUGAAGGCUUUUAAUUAUUUUCUAUUUCUGGUUAUCUGGAAACAGUUUUGUAUGAAAAAGAAAACUUUUCCUAAUAAAAUUCAUUACUGUUAAUAUAGCUAGGCUAAGUCUUGGGAUACUAGAACGGAAACUGAAGACAAGGUCCUUUGGAGAGGAAAAUCUGAUGUUUUCAGGACUACUUUCUCUACUAGAGAUACUUGGCAUCAUACUCGUUCUACGUCAGCUAGGGUUCCAUGGCAUAAGGUGAUUUGGUUCAGUCAUGCCACCCCAAAAUACUCUUUCUGCUCCUGGCUUGCAGCACAUGGUAGACUCCCAACAGGCGAUCGUAUGAUCAAUUGGGCAAAUGGCACUGCAACAGACUGCAUUUUUUGCCAAGGGACUCUAGAAACACGGGACCACCUCUUCUUUACUUGCAGUUUCACUUCUGCAAUUUGGGUAGAUUUAGCGAGAGGAAUUUUCAAAACGCAGUACACUUCACACUGGCAAUCGAUAAUUGAAGCCAUUACAAACUCUCAGCAUCACCGUGUGGAAUGGUUUCUCCGCCGCUAUGUUUUCCAAGCCACAAUCUACAUUGUGUGGAGGGAGCGGAAUGGUAGGCGUCACGGCGAGCCUCCGAACACAGCAUCUCAACUCGUUGGUUGGAUAGAUAAACAAAUUAGAAAUCAGCUGUCCUCUAUCUGUUUCAAGGGGGACAAGCGUUAUGAUGGAAGUCUCCAAGUUUGGUUUCAGUCAAGAAGUUAAUCUCUUAGCUCUGUUUCUUUCUUUUGUUCAAAACUAUUCUCAGCUCUAAUUCUCAAAACCAAUCUGCACUUGUUGUAAAAACGUUUUUUUUUGGAAUAUAAUUUAACAUUAUUUUCAAAAAAAAAUAAAAAAUAAUAUAGCUAGGCUACUACUUUGCCACUGGUACACACUAAACGAAAAAU